AUCAAGACGGGAUCUCACUAUGUUGCCCAGGCUUGUCUCAAAUUCCUGGGCUCAAGCCAUCCUCCUGCCUCAACCUCCCAAAGUGCUGGGAUUAUAGGCAUAAGCCACUGCCCUGGCCUAGUUGGAAUUGUUGUUUGGGGUCCUGGCAUUGAUGUGCCUGCCCCAGACAUGAGCACAGGUGAGCGGGAGAUGUCCUGGAUCGCUGAUACCUAUGCCAGCACCAUAGGGCACUAUGGAUUUGGUAACGUGGGCCUACACUCUAUGAGAUAUUUACAUCGUUUUGGUGCUAAAUGUAUUGCUGUUGGUGAGUCUGAUGGGAGUAUAUGGAAUCCAGAUGGUAUUGACCCAAAGGAACUGGAAGACUUCAAAUUGCAACAUGAGUCCGUUCUGGGCUUCCCCAAGGUAAAGCCCUAUGAAGGAAGCAUCUUGGAGGCUGACUGUGACAUACUGAUCCCAGCGCCAGUGAGAAGCAGUUGACCAAAUCCAAUGCACCCAGAGUCAAAGCCAAGAUCAUUGCUGAAGGUGCCAAUGGGCCAACAACUCCAGAAGCGGACAAGAUCUUCCUGGAGAGAAACAUUAUGGUUAUUCCAGAUCUCUACCUGAAUGCUGGAGGAGUGACAGUAUCUUACUUUGAGUGACUGAAGAAUCUAAAUCAUGUCAGCUAUGGCCAUUUGACCUUCAAAUAUGAAAGGGAUUCUAACUACCACUUGCUCAGGUGCAUCUGAGAAAGACAUCGUGCACUCUGGCUUGGCGUACACAAUGGAGCGUUCUGCCAGGCAAAUUUUGCGCACAGCCAUGAAGUAUAACCUGGGAUUGGACCUGAGAACAGCUGCCUAUGUCAAUGCCAUUGAGAAAGUCUUCAAAGUGUACAAUGAAGCUGGUGUGACCUUCACAUAGAUGGAUUGUGGCUGACUUCCUCACUACCCUCUUCACCUGUAACUUCUGCAGACCUAUCACAAGUUUACAUGUAACCACAGAAAUCCCUUUCUCUCCUGACUCAGUAAUAAUGGAUACCAUUCUCAACAAGUCAAUGCAAAUCAGCCCCGAAGGAGAAAGAAGUUAAGGUUAGGGGAUCAUGUACAAGCUGAGUGUGAAAGUAGAAAUCACCUACACCAGAGAGCCAUUUUGGUAUUUUGCCUUUAAAUAAAAAGUCUCCUCCAUCUGGCUGUGCAGCCUUGCUCUGUGGCUUUUCCCAACACAAUCAGUGUUAUUGAUGGGGAAGGGACAGUCAAGAGCAGUCAGUUGCUUGCUUAUUUUGCUCUGGACGAGUCUGGGACACGCUGUAACUUUAACACAUUUAAGAAGUAGGUGUGUGGCCUUUUCAGAAGGUGGCAUGGUCCUCAAGUGAGUUCUCAGCAUUUUAUAUCAGCAAAAUAACUCAAUUUUGCAGGUUGCAAACAAAUAUAAAAGCUAUUUCUGUUUAUGAAU